ACUCGUCAGUUUGAUCUUUCCUGUCAGCAGUUGCGUUUUAGAUUUCUAUUCCUGCCUCGUGAAAAGGAUUUUUCUUGGAAACAUUACAAUACGUACUGAAAUUUGUGUUGCUAUCAAAGACUAUAAAUAAGGUCCAACUCGAAAUAAGGAAGGACAUCUGUAAAUAAUACGUCUUUCAAGAAAGAAGAUAAUUACUUUCUUAUUCUCCGAGUGUCAAGAUAGAUUAGAUUUGACUAAUUUCGCCGACAAGCAGUUGAGUCAGUUGUUUGCCAUUUGAAGAAAUCCUUUCAUUUACUAUGCCUGCUAAUGAGGAGCAAGACAUGCUCAUUCGGACAGCAGCAGCUACAGGUGAGGAAUUGUGCAUUCUCUUCCUCCUCCUCCUCCUCCGUCUUGCAAGGAAAAAGUACAAUAAGAAGCCAGAUAUUAAACAGAUACUGGAACAGGCAUAGGACUGAGCAAACUGUAGCAGUGAAGAAACUGAUCUGCAACAUUCUGGUCCCAGAACCCGAAAAGCAUCUGCAACUUAUGAAAAUCUGCAAAGUGCCAUGAACAGUCUUGAAUUAUAUGCCACGAAGAAUCCCUGAUAAAUUUUGGUGGAAAAUCUAAGCAGACAAUCUGAGCUAAUUGGAAAUAUGACACGAAUUAAGGGUUCCCAAUGAGAACAUUUUUACUUUUUUCCUCUUCUAAUUUGGAACAAAUAUCACGAAUACCAAGUGUUUCAUCAUCUUGCUGUAGGUUUAUGUAUGCAAAGUAAUAAAAAGACAAAUGCAUAUACAUUUUUGCAGUAAGGAAGUAACCAGACUUAAGUGUUAGUUUCAGCUGUUAAUUGAAAACUGAAAUAAAGUUCUUGGUAAUGUUUAUCGAUUGAUUGAUUGGAAGUUAUCUGGGGUUACAACUACCAGGGUCACCGUCGUCAUGGUAAUAUUUAUAGAGUUUUAAGCGCAAUAAUUUCAGUCAGUUUUAUAAGUAAACAUUCUGGUUCCUGCAGAGUUAAUCCAAGAUGCAGAUUUUAUUGUAAAUCCAUUUGUUAACAUCUAGAUUAGCAUUUCAAGCUAGAUUGACUAAAUUUACCCAGGCUUCCAUUUUGUGGGAUAAGAAAGCUUGUAAUAUACUCUUAACAUAAUACAGAAAGUAAGAAAAUGUGUUAUGAAUUUAUGAAAGUAUUUCAUGUAAAUUACAUAUCGGAUAAAUGAGACGGAAUUACUUAAGGUUGUCUUUUGUAUCUUCGUAAAUUGACGAAACUAACACCUUAUAAGAAUAUCUUCAUUUUAACAGCUAGUUAUAGAGUUUAAAGAUAAGAGCCGGUUUUUUCAAGAUCUCUUGUAGAGCAUUCAUUUUUGUAUAAGUUUGUGUGCUACUUUAAACAAUUACUUUUACGUGUGACUGUCAGGUUAAAUCCUUUACUUUACUCACCAACUUUUAAAUAAUUUUUGCACUGAAUUUCCGGUCUAAUGCUCAAUUGUUUUUGUUUAUAACUUCUCGCUACACCAUUAGUUUUUCCCCUUAAAAUCAAAAUGUGUUUACAGGUUGUUUUUACCCUUAGUCUCUUUAAAUCUAAUUCAUGGCAUCUGUUUAUAUUUUGUACUAAAAUUUGAAAUGUGCUUAAUGUAGUUUCCAUUGUUCAUUGUCUGGCUUCUGACGUGAAAGUUGCAUUGACGAUAUCUGUGGUUCAUCUUCCAAGAUCUGUUUUAACAUUUAGAUGAAUCAGACUAGUGCAGUGGCUUUCAAGAUUGGUUGCUGUCAUUCUAUUCUAUCCCCUCUUCUUAUCAGUGCUUUUUUAGUGUUUUUUAAGUUUGCUAGAACGAACGUCUGGAGAACUGUAGUGAUAAACCCCGAUUUCGCAGUCUUGCACUUGCUAGAAGAAUUUACAGUGGCAACCCUUAAAGACAGUCAGAAUUAAUCGUAAACAACUUCUCAUCUUUUUUAUUUACAAAUUAGUACUCGGUGGGUGAUGUCAACGCGUUUGGAGAAAUUUCACAUUUUUAUUGUGUAUACUUUGCACAUAAGUUUUAAGAAUAUCGCCUUUUUAAUAAUGAGAACUUUAACUAAGCCCAAUUGUUUGCCAAAAUCAGUGCCGUUGCAUUAUUCCAUUAAGAUCUCAAGUCUUGAUGCCUUCCCAUAAAGUAAUAGUUUGGGUAUGAAUGGAACAUGUUGAAAUUUAGAACUCUCAAUAUUGAGUAUUAAUGGCACUAAUCAAAUUCUCUCUCUCUCUCUCUCUCUCUCUCUCUCUCUCUCUCUCUCUCUCGGUGGUAAUCUUAUUACUAUCCAAUGUAAUAUUUUUUCAAAAGUUUAAAAUAGUCCCACAGUUGUCCAUUCUUAUCCAAGGCGUUUUCAGAGUUGGUUUCAAGGGUUCCUUUUACCAAAGAUCAGUAUCUUAACUAAUAGGGAUUAGUGUAAAUUAAGAAACAGUUGUAGUACACGGUAGUCACACGUAAAACAAGACAGAGCCUUGUUUCAAGUAAUUAUCAAUUGGACCUUUACGGUCGUUGUCGUAACUUUAUUAAAAAUUCACAGCUAUAGAAUGACGAAACUGAUGUAGAAGUAUAACAGUUUGAUAUAAAGUUCUGUUUUUAAGCUGCUUAUGUUUUUUAUGAAAAUUACUUAACGGAACUUUUUUCUUUUUUUCCUCGUCAGUUAUUUUUGCUAUGUUUGGCGAGAAGAUUAAACAGUUAAGGAAGAGUUUCUAAAGGAUGAAUUUAGUGAGGGAAAGUAGCUAGGAAGGUUAGAAUUCUGGGGUGGUUUGAAAAAAUAUCGACGGAAUGCGUAAGUGCAGCCUUUGAAGGAAAUGUUUAGCGAAAGGGUAUGGGGAGGGUAGUGGGUUAUUUUAAGAGGAAUUUGGUUUAUCUUAAAGAAAUCUUGAUUUUUUUUUGUAUACGUUAGUGAGGUGAGAGCGCUGAUCCAAUAAUAUGAAAAGUUUCAUGAAGGGAAAAUUGAAAGUUUUCCAGUUGAGAAAUUCAAAAAGUUAAUUCCCAAGGUGGUGGUUUUUUUUUUCCGAUGGUUAGGAAAGAUGUUUAAAUUUGAUCUGUGAUAGUUUCAAGUUUUACUAAACCUUGCCUGCUGGGAUCUAAGACGCUGAUUUUUACGAAAAAUUAAUAAGAUCGGACUGUAUUCAAAUGGGCUAUAUAUUAGCGAUUUUAAAUUAGUUACUUUGAUUUAAAAAAAAACUUUAGUAGAUUUUAACUGACGAAUGUUUUUAUUUUCUAAUAGGAAUUUUGAGGACGUGUCAGUUAUAAUUUUGGAGAUUUUGUAUAACUUGAAAAGGUAAGAUUCGUUCAGAAAAAACUUUAAUGAUACACCAGUGCCGUUCGAGUAAUAAGUAUCGCGUAAUAUGCGACGAAAAGUAGCAUAAUAUUCGGCGUCACAUUUAUCAUUCAAGAACUUGUUCAAAGGCAGUUUAGGUGUAUGCAACUUUUUUUUUUAUAUAUAUAUCCAGACCUUGUUAGUAAAUGUUCUAGGUAUCUAUAUCCGCACUCUUAAAACAAAUGCACCGUAAGCUGGACUUUCUGAGAGGAAUGUGUUACUGGUCUUACAACUACCAUACGAUGAACGCUCAACAUUUCGCUUCGUAAUAUUUUUGGCUACGAUCCUCACUUGAAUCAUUAGGUAACCUUAAUAAAAAAUUUAAUUAAUUAUAUCUUCUUUUGACUCCUGGCCUCGAACCAGAGUGGAAGACCAACAGAGCAGAAUAAAUUAGUACAAUUUUCUUUCUGGGCUUCCAAAGAACUUCAGUGGAAGCAGUAACUCGCUGUAUGGCAGAUAUAGCAUUUCCAUAGAUACACCACUUCUCUCCAGAAGUUUCGUUUACAAACUUUACUCUGAAUUUGUAUUCCAAUUUAAUUCACGGUCAAGUUGUACGGAAGCUGUAUUCCUAUGCAUCAGCAUAAAUCGUAUGUAACUAUUUUUAUAGCAUGUUUUCUAGGACGACAAGAACGUCGUCGUAUAGAUUAAGCCAGCCUUGUACUGGCACGGGCUCUUGCUAUACAGCAGCCCGUUAUGAACUUAUCAGACUAAUGUAUCAAAUCAUUUAUGGACUUAACUGGAAAUAAAAUACAGUGGAA